GUGGGGAAUAUUGGGCAAUGGGCGCAAGCCUGACCCAGCAACGCCGCGUGAAGGAAGAAGGCUUUCGGGUUGUAAACUUCUUUUACCAGGGACGAAACAAAUGACGGUACCUGGUGAAUAAGCCACGGCUAACUACGUGCCAGCAGCCGCGGUAAUACGUAGGUGGCGAGCGUUAUCCGGAUUUAUUGGGUGUAAAGGGCGUGUAGGCGGGACAGCAAGUCAGAUGUGAAAACCAGAGGCUCAACCUCUGGCCUGCAUUUGAAACUGUUGUUCUUGAGUGUCGGAGAAGUAAUCGGAAUUCCGUGUGUAGCGGUGAAAUGCGUAGAUAUACGGAGGAACACCAGUGGCGAAGGCGGAUUACUGGACGAUAACUGACGCUGAGGCGCGAAAGCGUGGGGAGCAAACAGGAUUAGAAACCCGGGUAGUCC
rnacentral:rRNA from 1 species